GGGUACCAUUUCUAGAUGGUCACUUUGAUUGGUACAGAAAUUUAUUCCUGUACUACCAGCUUAGGUUCGGACCUAUGAGGUCACACACAUUAGAUUUCAUGAUCCGAUCGGAUGGUUGAUCAAUGAUUAAGAAUCGUUCUAGGGUUAAAUGAUCAAUACGAUUGACAUUUAACCCAGUGCAAGUGUUGCAGGAGGAUCGAUUAGCAAUUCGAUUGCUAAUUGAUUUAAUUUGAUUAAGCCAAUGGGCUGAGAUUAAGUCUAAUUAAAUAUAAUUUAAUUAGAUUUAGUUUGGACUUGAUUGGAUCAAGUCCAAUUAGUUUAUUGGAUAAGCCAAGUGCAAGGAAAAACUAGUCCUAGUUCAACUAGGACUUGGGUCAAUCUAAUUUCUAAUUUGAUUAAAAAAUUAAAUCAGAU
rnacentral:lncRNA from 1 species